UACGAAGGGGGCUAGCGUUGCUCGGAAUCACUGGGCGUAAAGGGUGCGUAGGUGGCGCUGUAAGUCAGGUGUGAAAUUUCGGAGCUUAACUCCGAAACUGCAUUUGAUACUGCGGUGCUUGAGGACUGGAGAGGAGACUGGAAUUUACGGUGUAGCAGUGAAAUGCGUAGAUAUCGGAAGGAAGACCAGUGGCGAAGGCGGGUCUCUGGACAGUUCCUGACACUGAGGCACGAAGGCCAGGGGAGCAAACGGG
rnacentral:rRNA from 1 species